rnacentral:rRNA from 1 species
GACGAACGCUGGCGGCGUGCUUAACACAUGCAAGUCGAACGGAAAGGCCCUGCUUUUGUGGGGUGCUCGAGUGGCGAACGGUGAGUAACACGUGAGUAACCUGCCCUUGACUUUGGGAUAACUUCAGGAAACUGGGGCUAAUACCGGAUAGGAGCUCCUGCUGCAUGGUGGGGUUGGAAAGUUUCGGCGGUUGGGGAUGGACUCGCGGCUUAUCAGCUUGUUGGUGGGGUAGUGGCUUACCAAGGCUUUGACGGGUAGCCGGCCUGAGAGGGUGACCGGCCACAUUGGGACUGAGAUACGGCCCAGACUCCUACAGGAGGCAGCAGUGGGGAAUAUUGCACAAUGGGCGGAAGCCUGAUGCAGCAACGCCGCGUGCGGGAUGACGGCCUUCGGUUGUAAACCGCUUUCGCCGUCGUUGACGAAGCGUGAGUGACGGUAA